rnacentral:RNase_P_RNA from 1 species
GUAGGAAAGCAGCUAACUGCGGCAUUCAAUUGCUGAGGAAAGUCCGUCCGCUAACCUGAAUAAGGUUCAUAAAAUGGGUUGCUUCUGAAAGGAAGUUCCAGAAAUGGAAGGCAACCACUCAGAAACGAUACUGCCUCAAUGCCGAAAUGAUGGCAACGCCUGAUCAUGGCAUGAGUGCUGGUGAAACGGUGAGUCCCGACCAGCGCAAGUCUAAAAAGACGCUUAGUCGAAUGUUAGCAUGGUUCUUCCGCUAGUGUUGUUCACUGAAACAAUGCAAGGGAACCAACAAAAGACGGCUUAAGCUUUCCUAC